AACAGAAAUGAAUACUUUCAGACUAGGUUUGAAGGACUGAGUAGGAGUAAACUAAAAGAGAAAAAGCAGGACAAAAGAAGCACCACUUUGGAAGCUCAAAGCCGCACUGGAAACACAGUCUUUCAGGAUGUCUGAAAGGGGCAAGUCUGUUUGUGUGGGGUAAGAAAUGCGGGGAGACAAACGGACAGUGGACAGAUUGCAGAGAGCUCUGUGUGCUGAGAGGAGGGUGCAGACCAGAUUUUUAAAUUGAGAAUGCAACAGUGAAGGAUUUCAAGCUUGGAGUGAGAGGGGAGACUACGAGCCUGCAGUGAUAAGGCAAAGCUGAAGAUUUCAGAGCCAAGGCCACACCCUACAGUUGCCAUGGAAUGGGGUGGCACAGUGGGCUUUGGAGGUAAAGUCUGCAGUUGAGAAGUUCAAGGGUAGUAAGUACUUAAUGAUAGAGAAGAAAAGCGGGCAGCUACUAGAUAUUCAAAUCUUCCACAAAUGUCAGGGAGAGAGUCAGGCAGUUGGUAGAAGAGACCUGUAAAGCUGGGUACCAUAAGCCUCAACACAGGUGUUUUUAUUUCAAGGCUGGGGAGCUGUGCUUUGGAAAAGCAAUGAGGAGGUAACAGGAAGUCUCUUCUCCUUCUAAAUCCUGUGUUCAUGGAGGAGGGUGGGUUUUCUCCUCUUGAGAGGGAGUUACAUACAAGUUUAAGGGAAAAGAGUCUGAAGUUUCCACCUAAAUGAUUCUGAAAGAAUCAGGUGGUUAAGAAGCAAAUCUGUUCCGAUGUGAUGCCAACUAAGUACAUGAUCUGAUUGUUCCAGUUAUCCUGUGCCAAAAAGAAGCAAAAAAUGGGCUUUCCACGGAUUAUUGAACACGGUGUCAGUGUGCCUGAGAAACAAGCCUCUAUUAAAAGCUUUCUAGGCAAUUUGAAUCAGGUUGCUGAGCUUUGAAAAACAUUCUACAGCCAAUCACACUGUUUCCAGUGGUGGAGCAAGAAGAGUGAUCCCAUUUAGGCAAGGAAUCCCUGACCCUUAUCUGGCUCAGCUUAACCUGGGAGGGCACAGUCAUCACAUCAGCUGGAGGAAAGAAUGAACAUGGAUUGGAAGAGCCUGCUGGUGUUGCAGAACAACAAUCCGGAAAGCCCUUGGAGGAGGUGGGUGAAGCCACCUUCGAGCACUAUGGUGCAGCCUGCAGAGGGAUGGGGGAUGGCCCUGGGUUUCAGCAGCAGGGGGUCCACAGCAUAAACCUUGCCUGCCACCGCGGGUGCUGCAGAGCAAAGACAGCACCAUAGUAGCAGCAAGAGGGACAACUGAGGA
rnacentral:lncRNA from 1 species